CGUUUGGUGCAGGCUUUGUUCAAACUCCUAUGAAGAGGAGAAAGCGCACCCCUUUUCUUCGCCUCCUAUACCUCCUCCCCUUCUUGUUCUAGGGUUUUGCCCGGCUUUAGGGUUCCGCCGGGCCGCCGUUUUCUCCCUCCAAACAACCCGAUUUCUUGAUUCGGCGCUUCUGAUUCGAGACUUGAGAGAUUUUAGGAUCUUGAUUCUUUGUAGAAGUCUUGCUCGAAGCACCCCGGGCUUUGCUGAAGAACUCCGUGACGACGGAAGCCCCAAUGCUGGUGACAGAUAGAUUCGCCGUUCCGUGUUGCAGUUCUGUUCACGAAUUCCUACGACCGAUCUGUGUCGAUGAAAGAGCCAAUGAGGAGCCUCGUUGGUGAUUCCAUAGCUACUGGAACAAUUGAUGGUGCAAAACAAAUGGAAUAUGCCUAUGUGCGAGAGAAGUUUGCGGAACCUGAUCCUGAUGUGUGUCAAAGAAAUGGUUUUGAGAACUGGCAGCAGUAUGGAACUUGCGCUCAAGGAAUAUGUCUUCAAUCAAGGCAGCUGAAACUUUGAAGACCGAGCCUGAUCCACAUGACGACAUGGGUGGCCGGCCAAGAAGUACAAAGAAUCGAAGACGACGAAGAGCCUGUAGCUGCUAUUUGUGCACGUCUUCAGAGGGCCGUUGACAUUUUAUUUACUUAUUUAUUUGUAUUUUAUUUGUAUUUUCUGCGAUCUGCAGUCAGAUUUGUUUGGUAUUAUUUAUGCUGAUUUAAUUUGCCGAAUAAACAUUGGAAUUUCUCUUUCUUGUUGACUUCUCGAAGAUGUCAUAACAGGUGAACUUGGGCGAGCUGAAACUUA